UGUCACUAUAUACUGUAAGAUGGAGUGGAA
rnacentral:piRNA from 1 species